rnacentral:rRNA from 1 species
UGAGGAAUAUUGGUCAAUGGGCGCAAGCCUGAACCAGCCAUGCCGCGUGCAGGAAGACGGCCCUAUGGGUUGUAAACUGCUUUUUUACGGGAAUAAUGGUUUCUACGUGUAGAGAUUUGAAGGUACCGUACGAAUAAGCAUCGGCUAACUCCGUGCCAGCAGCCGCGGUAAUACGGAGGAUGCAGGCGUUAUCCGGAUUUAUUAGGUUUAAAGGGUGCGCAGGCGGCCCGGUAAGUCAGUGGUGAAAGUUUGCAGCUUAACUGUAAAAUUGCCAUUGAAACUGUCGGGCUUGAAUUUGGUAGAGGUAGGCGGAAUGUGUAGUGUAGCGGUGAAAUGCUUAGAUAUUACACAGAACACCAAUUGCGAAGGCAGCUUACUAUGCCAAUAUUGACGCUGAGGCACGAAAGCGUGGGGAGCGAACAGGAUUAGAUACCCUGGUAGUCCACGCCGUAAACGAUGAUUACUGGUUGUGUGCGAUACACAGUGCGCGACUGAGCGAAAGCAUUAAGUAAUCCACCUGGGGAGUACGUUCGCAAGAAUG